AUGGCAGCGCUCAUAAUAGAAACAUGCCAUGUCGCAUGUUGUGCUAAUCGAACCCAAAAUGUUCUUACAUGGGGUCGUGGUGGAAUCAUUGCAAAUAGAACAUGUAAUUACGCCGCUCUCUAUGACCCAAAGGUAAUAUAUAUAUUUCACAAUUUAAAUGUACUCGUGUCACUACAUCAUCAGUCUUGUCAAUGUUGACAGCUGCUUGGAGUCGUUGGGUAUAAGGCAUAUUUGCUGUGAGUCAGCUUUACAGGAGAAAGGUGUUGCUGCUGUCCUGAAUGGACAUACUGGGAGGGUGAACACAGUCCAGUGGGUCCACAGAGAGGACUGUGUACAGAAACUCACCUGGUGUCAGGAGGGUCUGACAGUCUGACUGAUUGUGUGGGAGGCCCUAGAUGGGAAGACCUGUUGUCCCAGACCUGCUGGAACCCUGACCUAUUCACCGGACGUGCUACCUGUCCCAGACCUGCUGUUUUCAACUCUCUA